GUGGGGAAUCUUCCGCAAUGGACGAAAGUCUGACGGAGCAACGCCGCGUGAGUGAAGAAGGUUUUCGGAUCGUAAAGCUCUUUCGUCAGGGACGAACGUAUUUCUUGUAAAUAAUGAGAGAUAGUGACGGUACCUGAAUAAGAAGCCACGGCUAACUACGUGCCAGCAGCCGCGGUAAUACGUAGGUGGCAAGCGUUGUCCGGAAUUAUUGGGCGUAAAGCGCGCGCAGGCGGGAUAUCAAGUCUGUCUUAAAAGUGCGAGGCUCAACCUCGUGAGGGGACGGAAACUGGUAUUCUUGAGUGUCGGAGAGGAAAGUGGAAUUCCAAGUGUAGCGGUGAAAUGCGUAGAGAUUUGGAAGAACACCAGUGGCGAAGGCGACUUUCUGGACGAUGUCUGACGCUGAGGCGCGAAAGCUAGGGGAGCGAACGGGAUUAGAAACCCGUGUAGUCC
rnacentral:rRNA from 1 species